rnacentral:tRNA from 1 species
GGGUAUAUAGCUCAGCUGGUUAGAGCAGCAGACUUUUAAUUUGUUGGUCUUGGGUUCAAUUCCCAAUAUACUCA